AGCUAGUUGGUGAGGUAACGGCCCACCAAGGCAACGAUCGGUAGCCGGACUGAGAGGUUGAACGGCCACAUUGGGACUGAGACACGGCCCAGACUCCUACGGGAGGCAGCAGUGGGGAAUAUUGCACAAUGGGGGAAACCCUGAUGCAGCGACGCCGCGUGGAGGAAGAAGGUCUUCGGAUUGUAAACUCCUGUUGUUGAGGAAGAUAAUGACGGUACUCAACAAGGAAGUGACGGCUAACUACGUGCCAGCAGCCGCGGUAAAACGUAGGUCACAAGCGUUGUCCGGAAUUACUGGGUGUAAAGGGAGCGCAGGCGGGAAGACAAGUUGGAAGUGAAAUCCAUGGGCUCAACCCAUGAACUGCUUUCAAAACUGUUUUUCUUGAGUAGUGCAGAGGUAGGCGGAAUUCCCGGUGUAGCGGUGGAAUGCGUAGAUAUCGGGAGGAACACCAGUGGCGAAGGCGGCCUACUGGGCACCAACUGACGCUGAGGCUCGAAAGUGUGGGUAGCAAACAGGAUUAGAUACCCUGGUAGUCCACACCGUAAACGAUGAUUACUAGGUGUUGGAGGAUUGACCCCUUCAGUGCCGCAGUUAACACAAUAAGUAAUCCACCUGGGGAGUACGACCGCAAGGUUGAAACUCAAAGGAAUUGACGGGGGCCCGCACAAGCAGUGGAGUAUGUGGUUUAAUUCGACGCAACGCGAAGAACCUUACCAAGUCUUGACAUCCUGCGACGGUUCUGGAAACAGAACUUUCCUUCGGGACGCAGAGACAGGUGGUGCAUGGUUGUCGUCAGCUCGUGUCGUGAGAUGUUGGGUUAAGUCCCGCAACGAGCGCAACCCUUAUGGUCAGUUACUACGCAAGAGGACUCUGGCCAGACUGCCGUUGACAAAACGGAGGAAGGUGGGGAUGACGUCAAAUCAUCAUGCCCUUUAUGACUUGGGCUACACACGUACUACAAUGGCGUUAAACAAAGAGAAGCGAGACCGCGAGGUGGAGCAAAACUCAGAAACAACGUCCCAGUUCGGACUGCAGGCUGCAACUCGCCUGCACGAAGUCGGAAUUGCUAGUAAUCGUGGAUCAGCAUGCCACGGUGAAUACGUUCCCGGGCCUUGUACACACCGCCCGUCACACCAUGAGAGCCGGGGGGACCCGAAGUCGGUAGUCUAACCGCAAGGAGGACGCCGCCGAAGGUAAAACUGGUGAUUGGGGUGAAGUCGUAACAAGGUAGCCGUAGGAGAACCUGCGGCUG
rnacentral:rRNA from 1 species